GAAACUCCCAGUGUCACAUAGAUAGCAAGUGGCCUCACCACGAUUUGAACUGGGGGAGUUGUGCUCUGGAGUCCAAAAUCUUAACUGCUCUGGGAUACUGGGACACUGGAGCAGAAGGAUUUGGGGCAAGUCUGGAGAGGCCCAAGUGCAAUACUGAGACAUCUAGAACAAUAGGAGAGAGGAGAUCAGUUCUUUUGGGGAAGGUCAAAGAUAGAGGACAGGUGUGGAGGCUGGCAGGUCUCAGCUGACUAGAGAGAAGAACUUUCUUAAAAAAGGCAGAGCUGUCGAACAAUGGAGGGCUGCCCUACCCUGAGUGUUGAGUGCCUGGUGGCUGGCAGUCUGCAGGGAAAAUGAUGCCUCUGUGCUGGGCAUGGGGGCAGGGGCUCUUGCUGUGGUAGAGGGCUGUACAUAUGGACUCCAGAGGGCGUAAGUGAUAAUCCUCUCUUCCUUUCUCAGAACCACCUUUCUACAGGCUUUGGUGUCUCAGCGCGGGAGGCACAGAUGGCGAGGUCUGCCUUUGGCCAGGUGUGGGCGCCCAGUGUUGGGGGAGAAGACUGCAGGCACAGAAGACUGAACUCACAGGCAGAAGGAGAAAGUGAAGAGAAGAGAGGGAGAAGGGCCCUGACCGAGGCCACCAGCUUGUAAGUAGCAGCCCUAGGCUUGGGACCAGGGCCUCCUGAAGGUGACAGUCCUUUCAGCCAUGUGUCCUUGUUCCUCUAGUUACCUCCAAUUAACUCUAGGUAACCCAGCCCAGUCUUUGAUUCUGUGUUGAAAGGUGCGAGGUGCUGGAGCCGGGAAGAGGUGCGUUCUUGCUCUCGACAGGAAGUGUCAUGUGAGUUUCCGGUUCCCUCUCCUCCACUACCACUCUGGAUCCUCACACCAGCCCACAGAGGGAGACAGGAAGGGAGGCACAAAGGCAGGGCAGGGAAUACUGUGCCUGUUUUCCAGAUGAAGACACGAAGGCCAAGAGAGGGAAAGUGAGUCGGCCAAGGUCCUCCAGCUAGUCGGGGUUGAGCGUGUUUAACCUUAGGAAACGUGACUGCAGAGCAAGGGGCUUUCAUCUUCCUGUGGGAAUUCGCCCCCUUUCUCACAGGGGCCCUCAAGAGACUAGGCAGGCUCCUCCUGCAAAGGAUUCCUCUUUGUCCAUUUGAGAGGCCUCACCCCAGGCUCUAGGAGCUGACAUGAUUCAGCUCAAGGAAGACUCAGUAUGAAGGGAGAACCAGGAACCUGGGCCUCUGCCCCUCACCUGUGGCCUUGAACAGGUCACUUCUCCCCUCAAGCCUUGGUGUCCUCCCCUGUAGAGCUGAGGGGGUGAGGAGUAGAUGAGCUGAUCCUUCAGUUUGCUGCCCUCUUUGACCCGGAAGUGCUGGGCCUGCACAACCCUGCAUCCCUGGCACCAGUGCUCCUAGCCCCACCCUGCUCCAGAUGCCCAGUGCCUGAAGAGCCAGCUCCCCAUCAGCACUCAGUCCUGGGGCAGAGCCAGGCCUGGCAAUGCUGGGGGAGACCCUGGAGGGGAACAUCAUGGGCCACCAGGGGCACGCUGCAAAUGCAGCAACUAAUGCACCAGGGGCGCCAGGGUGCAAUCUAUCUAAGCAGUUCUCUCACGCUCUUUGCACGUUAAUAAUGCAUGGGCAGCCGGUGUGGGGGCCAUCACAGGCCCAACGUCAGGUGGCAUUAGGA
rnacentral:lncRNA from 1 species